rnacentral:rRNA from 1 species
UACAGAGGUGGCAAGCGUUGUUCGGAAUCACUGGGCGUAAAGGGCGCGUAGGCGGCUUUGUAAGUCGGGGGUGAAAGCCUGUGGCUCAACCACAGAAUUGCCUUCGAUACUGUAUGGCUCGAGACCGGAAGAGGUAAGUGGAACUGCGAGUGUAGAGGUGAAAUUCGUAGAUAUUCGCAAGAACACCAGUGGCGAAGGCGGCUUACUGGCCCGGUAUGACGCUGAGGUGCGAAAGCGUGGGGAGCAAACAGGG